CAAUAGCGUAUAUUUAAGUUGCUGCAGUUAAAAAGCUCGUAGUUGGAUUUCGGGUGGGAAUGGCCGGUCCGCCGUUUCGGUGUGCACUUGCUACGCCCACCUUGCUGCCGGGGACGUGCUCUUGAGUUCACGCUCGGGACACGGAGUCGGCGAGGUUACUUUGAGUAAAUUAGAGUGUUCAAAGCAGGCCUACGCUCUGAAUACAUUAGCAUGGAAUAACACGAUAGGACUCUGGCCUAUCUUGUUGGUCUGUAGGACCGGAGUAAUGAUUAAGAGGGACAGUCGGGGGCAUUCGUAUUUCAUUGUCAGAGGUGAAAUUCUUGGAUUUAUGAAAGACGAACUACUGCGAAAGCAUCUGCCAAGGAUGUUUUCAUUAA
rnacentral:rRNA from 1 species